AAUCCCUUGAACUUUGAAAUUUUACAUAGUAAAAUUUUUCUUAUCUUUAAUAGCCCGUUUAUUAUUAACACGCUGAUAUAAACAAUCCAGAGUUGUGAUAACGUGGACAAUUGCUAUUGUUUUUCAAAAGUAAAGUCCCUCUAAUCAACUGCUAUACAUCUAGCAUUUCAUUGUCCUAUGCGGAUGAAAUUCUUUCAUGGUUGAUCUAUAAAGAGAAUCAUAGCCGGUUUUGACACUAUCACAUAAAGGAAAGAGAAUUGUCUGGGGCACCACCACUAUAGAUUGUAUAAAACGGUUAUUGG
rnacentral:misc_RNA from 1 species